UAUUGAACAACGCAAAUUUUCAACACUCACUAUAAAGCAUUUUCUAUGGAGAGACCCGUCGCCCAUGUGGCGGUGUGAGGUUUCCAUGAGAAAGAAAACCGUCAUGUGAAGUGGAGACGAGACACCAGUGGCUGAUCUUGGGUGCGGUUUCUUCGGCUCUUGAGCAAUGGAAGAGAGCGCAAUGAUUGGCCGUACAU
rfam:Phaeosphaeria nodorum SN15 scaffold_5, whole genome shotgun sequence.